UACGUAGGAGGCAAGCGUUGUCCGGAAUCACUGGGCGUAAAGCGCGUGUAGGUGGAAGAGGAAGUCUGCUGUGAAAGCGCCUGGCUUAACUGGGCGAGGUCGACGGAAACUGGCAGACUGGAGGCCGGUAGAGGAGGUGGAAUUCCCGGUGUAGUGGUGAAUGCGUAGAGAUCGGGAGGAACACCAGUGGCGAAGGCGGCCC
rnacentral:rRNA from 1 species